UGCCAGACUCCUACGGGAGGCAGCAGUGGGGAAUAUUGCACAAUGGGGGGAACCCUGAUGCAGCGACGCCGCGUGGGCGAGGAAGUAUUUCGGUAUGUAAAGCCCUAUCGGCAGGGAAGAAGAAAUGACGGUACCUGAAUAAGAAGCACCGGCUAAAUACGUGCCAGCAGCCGCGGUAAUACGUAUGGUGCAAGCGUUAUCCGGAUUUACUGGGCGUAAAGGGGGCGCAGACGGCAGCGCAAGCCAGGAGUGAAAGCCCGGGGCCCAACCCCGGGACUGCUCUUGGAACUGCGCGGCUGGAGUGCAGGAGGGGCAGGCGGAAUUCCUGGUGUAGCGGUGAAAUGCGUAGAUAUCAGGAGGAACACCGGCGGCGAAGGCGGCCUGCUGGACCGUGACUGACGUUGAGGCUCGAGAGCGUGGGGAGCAAACAGGAUUAGAUACCCUUGUAA
rnacentral:rRNA from 1 species